rnacentral:rRNA from 1 species
CAAUAAGCGGAGGAAAAGAAACCAACAGGGAUUNCCUCAGUAACGGCGAGUGAAGCGGUAACAGCUCAAAUUUGAAAGCUAGCUCUUUUAGGGUUCGCAUUGUAAUUUGUAGAAGAUGCUUCGGGUGUGGCCCCGGUCUAAGUUCCUUGGAACAGGACGUCAUAGAGGGUGAGAAUCCCGUAUGUGACUGGGUGCUUUCGCUCAUGUGAAGCUCUUUCGACGAGUCGAGUUGUUUGGGAAUGCAGCUCAAAAUGGGUGGUAAAUUUCAUCUAAAGCUAAAUAUUGGCCAGAGACCGAUAGCGCACAAGUAGAGUGAUCGAAAGAUGAAAAGCACUUUGGAAAGAGAGUUAAACAGUACGUGAAAUUGUUGAAAGGGAAGCGCUUGCAACCAGACUUGCGCGCUGAUGAUCAUCCGGGCUUCUGCCCGGUGCACUCGUCUGCGCUCAGGCCAGCAUCGGUUUCGGUGGUGGGAUAAAGGCCUUGGGAAUGUAGCUCCUCUCGGGGAGUGUUAUAGCCCUCGGUGCAAUGCCGCCUACCGGGACCGAGG